GACGAACGCGGGCGGCGUGCCUAAUACAUGCAAGUCGAACGCUGAAGGAGGAGCUUGCUUCUCUGGAUGAGUUGCGAACGGGUGAGUAACGCGUAGGUAACCUGCCUGGUAGCGGGGGAUAACUAUUGGAAACGAUAGCUAAUACCGCAUAAGAGUAGAUGUUGCAUGACAUUUGCUUAAAAGGUGCAAUUGCAUCACUACCAGAUGGACCUGCGUUGUAUUAGCUAGUUGGUGGGGUAACGGCUUACCAAGGCGACGAUACAUAGCCGACCUGAGAGGGUGAUCGGCCAAACUGGGACUGAGACACGGCCCAGACUCCUACGGGAGGCAGCAGUAGGGAAUCUUCGGCAAUGGACGGAAGUCUGACCGAGCAACGCCGCGUGAGUGAAGAAGGUUUUCGGAUCGUAAAGCUCUGUUGUAAGAGAAGAACGAGUGUGAGAGUGGAAAGUUCACACUGUGACGGUAUCUUACCAGAAAGGGACGGCUAACUACGUG
rnacentral:rRNA from 1 species